GUCCUAGCCGUAAACGUUGGAUACUAGGUGUGGGGGGACAUCGACCCCUUCUGCGCCGAAGCUAACGCAUUAAGUAUCCCGCCUGGGGAGUACGGCCGCAAGGCUAAAACUCAAAGGAAUUGACGGGGGCCCGCACAAGCGGCGGAGCAUGUGGCUUAAUUCGACGCAACGCGAAGAACCUUACCUGGACUUGACAUGCAGGGUGAAACCCCAGAAACGGGGCGCUCUUCGGAGCCUGCACAGGUGGUGCAUGGCUGUCGU
rnacentral:rRNA from 1 species